ACGAACGCUGGCGGCGCGCCUAACACAUGCAAGUCGAACGGAGCUGUUUUCUCUGAAGUUUUCGGAUGGAAGAGAGUUCAGCUUAGUGGCGAACGGGUGAGUAACACGUGAGCAACCUGCCUUUCAGUGGGGGACAACAUUUGGAAACGAAUGCUAAUACCGCAUAAGACCACAGUGUCGCAUGGCACAGGGGUCAAAGGAUUUAUCCGCUGAAAGAUGGGCUCGCGUCCGAUUAGCUAGAUGGUGAGGUAACGGCCCACCAUGGCGACGAUCGGUAGCCGGACUGAGAGGUUGAACGGCCACAUUGGGACUGAGACACGGCCCAGACUCCUACGGGAGGCAGCAGUGGGGAAUAUUGCACAAUGGGGGAAACCCUGAUGCAGCGACGCCGCGUGGAGGAAGAAGGUCUUCGGAUUGUAAACUCCUGUCCCAGGGGACGAUAAUGACGGUACCCUGGGAGGAAGCACCGGCUAACUACGUGCCAGCAGCCGCGGUAAAACGUAGGGUGCAAGCGUUGUCCGGAAUUACUGGGUGUAAAGGGAGCGCAGGCGGAUUGGCAAGUUGGGAGUGAAAUCUAUGGGCUCAACCCAUAAAUUGCUUUCAAAACUGUCAGUCUUGAGUGGUGUAGAGGUAGGCGGAAUUCCCGGUGUAGCGGUGGAAUGCGUAGAUAUCGGGAGGAACACCAGUGGCGAAGGCGGCCUACUGGGCACUAACUGACGCUGAGGCUCGAAAGCAUGGGUAGCAAACAGGAUUAGAUACCCUGGUAGUCCAUGCCGUAAACGAUGAUUACUAGGUGUGGGAGGAUUGACCCCUUCCGUGCCGCAGUUAACACAAUAAGUAAUCCACCUGGGGAGUACGACCGCAAGGUUGAAACUCAAAGGAAUUGACGGGGGCCCGCACAAGCAGUGGAGUAUGUGGUUUAAUUCGAAGCAACGCGAAGAACCUUACCAGGUCUUGACAUCGGAUGCAUACCUAAGAGAUUAGGGAAGUCCUUCGGGACAUCCAGACAGGUGGUGCAUGGUUGUCGUCAGCUCGUGUCGUGAGAUGUUGGGUUAAGUCCCGCAACGAGCGCAACCCUUAUCGUUAGUUACUACGCAAGAGGACUCUAGCGAGACUGCCGUUGACAAAACGGAGGAAGGUGGGGAUGACGUCAAAUCAUCAUGCCCUUUAUGACCUGGGCUACACACGUACUACAAUGGCUAUUAAUAGAGAGAAGCGAUACCGCGAGGUGGAGCAAACCUCACAAAAAUAGUCUCAGUUCGGAUCGCAGGCUGCAACCCGCCUGCGUGAAGCCGGAAUUGCUAGUAAUCGCGGAUCAGCAUGCCGCGGUGAAUACGUUCCCGGGCCUUGUACACACCGCCCGUCACACCAUGAGAGCCGGGGGGACCCGAAGUCGGUAGUCUAACCGCAAGGAGGACGCCGCCGAAGGUA
rnacentral:rRNA from 1 species